rnacentral:rRNA from 1 species
GGGGAAUAUUGGACAAUGGGCGCAAGCCUGAUCCAGCCAUGCCGCGUGAGUGAUGAAGGCCUUAGGGUUGUAAAGCUCUUUCAGUGGGGAAGAUAAUGACGGUACCCACAGAAGAAGCCCCGGCUAACUUCGUGCCAGCAGCCGCGGUAAUACGAAGGGGGCUAGCGCUGUUCGGAUUUACUGGGCGUAAAGCGCACGUAGGCGGAUUGUUAAGUCAGGGGUGAAAUCCUGGAGCUCAACUCCAGAACUGCCUUUGAUACUGGCAAUCUCGAGUCCGGAAGAGGUAAGUGGAACUCCUAGUGUAGAGGUGGAAUUCGUAGAUAUUAGGAAGAACACCAGUGGCGAAGGCGGCUUACUGGUCCGGAACUGACGCUGAGGUGCGAAAGCGUGGGGAGCAAAC